AGAUAAGCUCUCUACUCCAUGGUGGUCAAAACAGCUGGCCUUUGGUAAUGGAGCUUAGCGUGUUUCAGUUUGAGGACUUCGCAUCUUGUCUAAAAUCGUCUAGACCAAACACCAUAGUUCUAUCUGGGCUUAGUGGCAGUGGCAAAACCACUAUUUACUACCAGAUCAUUUGGCAUUUUUACCAGGAGGAUACAAGAAGUUGGAGUGGUUAUCUGAAGGCUUUUGAACUGCUUGAAGCAUUAGUGUAGCUUUGGUGCUUUUGUGACUGAUCAGCUCUAGAGCAGCUAGA